rnacentral:rRNA from 1 species
UACGUAGGUGGCAAGCGUUGUCCGGAAUUAUUGGGCGUAAAGCGUGCGCAGGCGGUUGGCAAAGUCAGCUGUGAAAGCCCCGGGCUCAACCUGGGAAUGGCGGUUGAAACUAGUCGACUCGAAUCUGGCAGAGGGGGGUGGAAUUCCACGUGUAGCAGUGAAAUGCGUAGAGAUGUGGAGGAACACCGAUGGCGAAGGCAGCCCCCUGGGCUGAGAUUGACGCUCAGGCACGAAAGCGUGGGGAGCAAACAGG